rnacentral:piRNA from 1 species
UGAAAAGAUUCUUUUAGUGGCUAAGG